GGAAUUUUGGACAAUGGGCGAAAGCCUGAUCCAGCAAUGCCGCGUGCAGGAUGAAGGCCUUCGGGUUGUAAACUGCUUUUGUACGGAACGAAAAGUCUCGGGAUAAUACCCUGGGACCAUGACGGUACCGUAAGAAUAAGCACCGGCUAACUACGUGCCAGCAGCCGCGGUAAUACGUAGGGUGCAAGCGUUAAUCGGAAUUACUGGGCGUAAAGCGUGCGCAGGCGGUUAUAUAAGACAGAUGUGAAAUCCCCGGGCUCAACCUGGGAACUGCAUUUGUGACUGUAUAGCUAGAGUACGGUAGAGGGGGAUGGAAUUCCGCGUGUAGCAGUGAAAUGCGUAGAUAUGCGGAGGAACACCGAUGGCGAAGGCAAUCCCCUGGACCUGUACUGACGCUCAUGCACGAAAGCGUGGGGAGCAAACAGGAUUAGAUACCCGAG
rnacentral:rRNA from 1 species